rnacentral:rRNA from 1 species
UGAGGAAUAUUGGGCAAUGCCCGCAAGGGUGACCCAGCAACGCCGCGUGGAGGAUGAAUGUCGUAAGAUUGUAAACUCCUGUUAGAGGGGAAGAAUAGUACCGGUUGGACCGGUAUAUGACUGUACCCUCAGAGAAAGCCCCGGCUAACUACGUGCCAGCAGCCGCGGUAAUACGUAGGGGGCAAGCGUUGUCCGGAUUUACUGGGUGUAAAGGGCGCGCAGGCGGGAUAAAAAGUCAGUGGUGAAAUCCUACAGCUUAACUGUAGAACUGCCUUUGAUACUUUUAUUCUUGAGUUCGGGAGAGAGAGACGGAAUUCCAGGUGUAGUGGUGAAAUACGUAGAUAUCUGGAAGAGCACCAGUUGCGAAGGCGGUCUCUUGGUCCGACACUGACGCUGAGGCGCGAAAGCGUGGGGAGCAAACA